rnacentral:rRNA from 1 species
AAAAAUAACAAUACGGGACUCAUUCGAGGCCCCGUAAUUGGAAUGAGUACACUUUAAAUCCUUUAACGAGGAUCCAUUGGAGGGCAAUCUGGUGCCAGCACCGCGGUAAUUCCAGCUCAAUAGCGUAUAUUAAAGUUGCUGCAGUUAAAAAGCUCGUAGUUGGAUCUUGGCGCAGGCUUGCGGUCCGUCUCGCGGCGGUCACUGCUC